UGUGUCAAAAGUGUACAAGAUAUAGGGCAAAAAUGGGGUUUUUUUAUAGCUUUUAAUAAUAUGUCUUGCAAAUUUACUAUCAAUUUCCUCAAAAACCGUAUUGUGAGAAUUUUGGAACUUCAGAAUUUGCGUGGCUUCUAGUUCCUAAAUUUUAUAUACUUAAUAUCGAAGAAAUUUUGUAAAAAUUCACUUUUGUUCGAACCACCUCAUGAAACUUGUAGGUAGGUAGAUAAAGGGGGGCGGCAGAACAUCCUUAGCCCCGGGCGCCCGCAGUUGUAGCUACACCACUGCCUAUUUUUACUUAUUUUUUGCAUAAAAAAUUUCACUUUGAACAAAAUAUUAAAAUUUCAUUGAAGUGAAAGGUAUGUAUGUAUUAUGCAAGGCAUACACGCACCAAUUAGUUGGUUGAUUGAGUUGAGCUAGAAAUUGCCCUUGUCGCCACACACGACACAACUUUUAAUACAAUUUGGAGGCCAACUUCAUUUUGAAUAUUCAAUUCGUAGCGUAAACAUGAGUUCGGAAGUUAUUGCUUUAAUUAUUAUAAAUGAAGUUUUAGCGGAAGAAGAAGAACAGGAGCAAAAAAGAAUUCGGAAAAAAAGAAAAUGGUGUAAACUGUGGUUGCAAAAUAAAAAUUAAUUUUCAUAUAACAAGCUUUUGAAGACGUUGAGAGAAACCGAGCCAAAGGACUACAAGAAUUACAUGCGCAUGAGCGAUGAAGUGUUUUAUGAUCUUCUCUUGAAAGUGAAAGUUUUUAUUGAAAUAGAAGACACAAUAAUGCGAAAAGCAAUUAGUGCAGAGAAUCGUUUGGCAAUAACUUUACGAUUUUUGGCUACGGGAAACUCAUUUGAAGACCUAAAAUUUUCAACAGCAAUAUCUGCGCAAGCGAUUGGUAAAAUUGUAAUUGAGACGUGCAAGGCUAUUAUAAAAGUUCUAAAAGACUCAAUUAAGCUUCCUAAAACACCUGAGCAAUGGAUGGCUGUUGCUGAUCAAUUUUAUGAGAAGUCGAUGUUUCCCAACUGUCUAGGCGCGCUCGAUGGAAAGCAUAUAAAAUAUUUCACGUCCUUCUAACUCCGGUUCAUUUUAUUUCAAUUAUAAAAAGACAUUCAGUAUUGUCUUGUUGGCAAUUGUUGACAGCAACUCCAACUUUUUAAUGGUAGAUGUAGGUGCAAAUGGACGAAUUUCCGAUGGAGGCGUUUUCGGAAAUUCGAAAUUUUUCAAAAAGUUGGAAAGUGGAAGUUUAAAUUUACUGGAACCACAAGCAGUGCUUGCAGACGAAGAUUCACUCCCUUUUGUGUUUGUGUCGGAUGCGGCUUUCGCUUUGAGGAAAAAUGUUUUAAAACCAUUUGGUCACAACAAUUUGACAGAGAAUGAAAUGCUGUUUAACAAAACUCUGAGCUCAGCACGGGUUAAAGUUGAAAACGCUUUUGGUAUUUUGGCAUCGCGUUUUCGACUUCUUCAAACGACAAUAAAUUUAUGUCCUGAAAAAGUUACUACAGUUGUUCUUGCCUGUUGCUACUUACACAACUACUUACGGUGCCAGUCAAACUCAAAUCGAUUUGAAUAUGAAAAUAUUCAGCUGUCAGAAAUGGAACCAACGCUGUCUAGAAAUGCAUCUAAUGAGGCCAAAACAAUAAGGUUGAAAUAUUGUGAAAUUAUCAAAAAACUGAAAUCUCUUUAAUUCCUUUUAUUUACAUAUGUAUAAAAUAGUGUUAAAUUGGUUGUGUUCUUUAAAUAAAACUGAUAUUCAUUCUCUUAUAACUAAUACAUAAAAAAUGAAGUAAAAAAAUAAUUUAAACAAAAAAUGAGAAAAAUAAAAUAAAAUAUAUGUAUGUACUCUA